rnacentral:rRNA from 1 species
AUUGAACGCUGGCGGCAUGCCUUGCACAUGCAAGUCGAACGGUAACAGGUUAAGCUGACGAGUGGCGAACGGGUGAGUAAUGUAUCGGAACGUGCCCAGUCGUGGGGGAUAACUGCUCGAUAGAGCAGCUAAUACCGCAUACGACCUGAUGGUGAAAGCGGGGGAUCGCAAGACCUCGAGCGAUUGGAGCGGCCGAUAUCAGAUUAGGUAGUUGGUGAGGUAAAGGCUCACCAAGCCGACGAUCUGUAGCUGGUCUGAGAGGACGACCAGCCACACUGGGACUGAGACACGGCCCAGACUCCUACGGGAGGCAGCAGUGGGGAAUUUUGGACAAUGGGCGCAAGCCUGAUCCAGCCAUGCCGCGUGCGGGAAGAAGGCCUUCGGGUUGUAAACCGCUUUUGUCAGGGAAGAAAAGGUUCUGGCUAAUACCUGGGACUCAUGACGGUACCUGAAGAAUAAGCACCGGCUAACUACGUGCCAGCCGCCGCAGUAAUAC